AUACGGAGGAUCCGAGCGUUAUCCGGAUUUAUUGGGUUUAAAGGGAGCGUAGGCGGGAGAUCAAGUCAGCUGUGAAAUGUAGAUGCUCAACAUCUGCACUGCAGUUGAAACUGGGUUUCUUGAGUGCGUAAGGGGCAGGCGGAAUUCGUCGGGUAGCGGUGAAAUGCUUAGAUAUGACGAAGAACUCCGAUCGCGAAGGCAGCCUGCCGGGCCGCGACUGACGCUGAAGCUCGAAGGUGCGGGUAUCGAACAGGAUUAGAUACCCUGGUAGUCCGCACAGUAAACGAUGGAUACUCGCUGUCGGCGAUAUACGGUCGGUGGCCAAGCGAAAGCGUUAAGUAUCCCACCUGGGGAGUACGCCGGCAACGGUGAAACUCAAAGGAAUUGACGGGG
rnacentral:rRNA from 1 species